ACCAUGCAUAAUGAAGCUACCAAGUCCCUGAGUGUGACGGCUCACGCCGGGACGAGGGAAUGUAAAUAACCGUCUGCGCCCGGAGAAGUUCCCAUGGAAGGGUUUUCGGACGGGGGUUCAACUCCCCCCGCCUCCACCA
rnacentral:tmRNA from 1 species